CUUAUCAAGUUGAAACAUUGGUUCCCCUACGAUCACCGAAGUUAAACAACGUCGAACCUGGUCAGUACCGAGAUGGGUGACCACUAUGGAAUGACAGAUGCAGUA